AGAUCUUGGUGGUAGUAGCAAAUACUGUCAUGCGACCUGACAGGACUGAAGUGGAGCAAGGUUCCAUGUGAACAGCAUUUGGACAUGGGUUAGUCGAUCCUAAGGCGCAGGGGAGUUCUGUUGAAUCGUGGGUAUGGAGAGCUUUCGGGCCCUCCACCAUCCCAAACCUCGCCGAAAGGGAAGCGGGUUAAUAUUCCCGCACCAGGACGUGGAUACUGCGUGGCAACACAAGCGAGCUCGGAGACGGCGGCAGGGAGCCCGGGAAGAGUUGUCUUUUCUUUUUAACGGUCUCUUACCCUGGAAUCGGUUUGCCCGGAGAGAGGGUUCCAUGGCCGGGAAAGCACCUCACGUCUCGAGGUGUCCGGUGCCUUCUUGACGCCCCUUGAAAAUCCGAGCAAAGGACUUAUUCGCACCCCUGGUCGUACUCAUAACCGCAUC
rnacentral:rRNA from 14 species